UUUCCGUAGGUGAACCUGCGUAAGGAUCAUUAAUGAGUUGUCAUGGGGUUCGAUGCUGGCAGCCAGUUUUUGGAUGCAUGUGCUUGCCCUAACAAUCAUCUUCUUCCAAACACCUGUGCACAUUUUUGAGGGAGUCUUGAGUUGGUUGCCGCUCUUGGGUGAUUUUCUCACAUUCCCUUAAAUCAUUAUACGCUAUUAACAAUGUUGAACGUGCUCUGUGCCGCAAGGCCAUUAAUAUAAUACAACUUUUAACAACGGAUCUCUUGGCUCUC
rnacentral:misc_RNA from 1 species